ensembl:ncRNA F32G8.12 ncRNA
AGAAAACACAAAAAUUGUACGAAGAUGGUAGACGUUAACUUGUAAAAUGAGAUUGAGCGUGAAAGUGGAUGAAAAGAGAGAGAGAGAACGUCGCUUAAUCAAAUUGUGUCUUCAAGAAGAAGAA